rnacentral:rRNA from 1 species
GACGAACGCUGGCGGCGUGCUUAACACAUGCAAGUCGAACGGUGAAGCGCCUUCCUUUUUGGUGGGUGUGGAUGAGUGGCGAACGGGUGAGUAACACGUGAGUAACCUGCCCCCUUCUUCUGGAUAACCGCAUGAAAGUGUGGCUAAUACGGGAUAUUCUGGGUCUGUCGCAUGAUGGGUCUGGGAAAGAUAUUGUUUCGGUGGGGGAUGGGCUCGCGGCCUAUCAGCUUGUUGGUGGGGUGAUGGCCUACCAAGGCGGUGACGGGUAGCCGGCCUGAGAGGGUGGACGGUCACACUGGGACGGAGACACGGCCCAGACUCCUACGGGAGGCAGCAGUGGGGAAUAUUGCACAAUGGGCGCAAGGCUGAUGCAGCGACGCCGCGUGAGGGAUGGAGGCCUUCGGGUUGUGAACCUCUUUCGCCAGUGAAGCAGGCCUGCCUCGUUUGUGGGUGGGUUGACGGUAGCUGGAUAAGAAGCGCCGGCUAACUACGUG